GCCGCGGUAGCCAAGUGGCAAGGCAAGGGUCUGCAAAACCUCAACGGCGGUUCGAAUCCGUCCCCGCGGCUCCA
rnacentral:tRNA from 1 species